UUGCUCACUUCAGCAGCACGUAUACUGAAGUUGGAACAAUAGAGAGAAGAUUAUCGUGGCCCCUGUACAAGGAUGAUACACGGGUUCAUGAAGUGUUCCACAUUAGA